GGGUUGUGAGGUUAAGCGACUAAGCGUACACGGUGGAUGCCCUGGCAGUCAGAGGCGAUGAAGGGCGUGCUAAUCUGCGAUAAGCGCCGGUAAGGUGAUAUGAACCGUUAUAACCGGCGAUACCCGAAUGGGGAAACCCAGUGUGAUUCGUCACACUAUCAUUAACUGAAUCCAUAGGUUAAUGAGGCGAACCGGGGGAACUGAAACAUCUAAGUACCCCGAGGAAAAGAAAUCAACCGAGAUUCCCCCAGUAGCGGCGAGCGAACGGGGAGGAGCCCAGAGCCUGAAUCAGCAUGUGUGUUAGUGGAAGCGUCUGGAAAGGCGCGCGAUACAGGGUGACAGCCCCGUACACAAAAGCGCAUGUGCUGUGAGCUCGAUGAGUAGGGCGGGACACGUGGUAUCCUGUCUGAAUAUGGGGGGACCAUCCUCCAAGGCUAAAUACUCCUGACUGACCGAUAGUGAACCAGUACCGUGAGGGAAAGGCGAAAAGAACCCCGGCGAGGGGAGUGAAAAAGAACCUGAAACCGUGUACGUACAAGCAGUGGGAGCCCCACCACUAAGCCAGUGGUGAACUCCACAUACGCAUCCUUUGCUGAGGAUACGGUUAACGGAGCGAAAGCGACGUUCAACCGCAAAAGAAGCAGAGGGGGCUUAGUGGUGGGGUGACUGCGUACCUUUUGUAUAAUGGGUCAGCGACUUAUAUUCUGUAGCAAGGUUAACCGUAUAGGGGAGCCGCAGGGAAACCGAGUCUUAACCGGGCGUUAAGUUGCAGGGUAUAGACCCGAAACCCGGUGAUCUAGCCAUGGGCAGGUUGAAGGUUGGGUAACACUAACUGGAGGACCGAACCGACUAAUGUUGAAAAAUUAGCGGAUGACCUGUGGCUGGGGGUGAAAGGCCAAUCAAACCGGGAGAUAGCUGGUUCUCCCCGAAAGCUAUUUAGGUAGCGCCUCGUGAAUUCAUCUCCGGGGGUAGAGCACUGUUUCGGCUAGGGGGCCAUCCCGGCUUACCAACCCGAUGCAAACUGCGAAUACCGGAGAAUGUUAUCACGGGAGACACACGGCGGGUGCUAACGUCCGUCGUGAAGAGGGAAACAACCCAGACCGCCAGCUAAGGUCCCAAAGUCAUGGUUAAGUGGGAAACGAUGUGGGAAGGCCCAGACAGCCAGGAUGUUGGCUUAGAAGCAGCCAUCAUUUAAAGAAAGCGUAAUAGCUCACUGGUCGAGUCGGCCUGCGCGGAAGAUGUAACGGGGCUAAACCAUGCACCGAAGCUGCGGCAGCGACGCUGAUGCGUUGUUGGGUAGGG
rnacentral:rRNA from 1 species